rnacentral:rRNA from 1 species
UUCCUCCGGGCCGCCGCCGUGCGGCCUCUUGGUCCCUGGGCGGGCGCCUGCCCCCGCCCCGCCGCGUGCGGGCUGCCUGUACAGAGUAUCGUAAACCUCUUUUGUCAGGGAACAAAGGCGGGGACGUGUCCCCGGAUGAGUGUACCUGAAGAAAAAGCAUCGGCUAACUCCGCGCCAGCAGCCGCGGUAAUACGGAGGAUGCGAGCGUUAUCCGGAUUUAUUGGGUUUAAAGGGUGCGCAGGCGGUCUGUUAAGUCAGCGGUCAAAGCCCGGGGCUCAACCCAUGCCCGCCGGUGAAACUGGCAG